UACGGAGGGUGCAAGCGUUAUUCGGAUUCACUGGGCUUAAAGGGUGCGUAGGUGGGUUGGUAAGUCAGUGGUGAAAUCUCCAGGCUUAACUUGGAAACUGCCAUUGAUACUAUCAAUCUUGAAUACCGUGGAGGUCAGCGGAAUAUGUCAUGUAGCGGUGAAAUGCGUAGAUAUGACAUAGAACACCAAUUGCGAAGGCAGCUGGCUACACGAAUAUUGACACUGAUGCACGAAAGCGUGGGGAGCAAACAGG
rnacentral:rRNA from 1 species